GCAUGUCUAAGUAUAAAUGCUUUAUACUGUGAAACUGCGAAUGGCUCAUUAAAUCAGUUAGAGUUUUUUUGAUAAAUUUUUGCUACUUGGAUACCUGUAGUAAAUCUAGAGCUAAUACAUGCCUCUAAACCCGACUUUUUGAAGGGUGGUGUUUAUUAGAAUUUUCAAACCAAUGAUGAAGUUUACUUCAUGUUUGAUGACUCAUGAUAAAUUUACGAAUCGCAAGACUUUAUGUUGGCGAUGUAUCAAUUAAAUUUCUGCACUAUUAACUUUUGAUGUAAGUGUAUUGUACUUACAUGGUUUUGAUGGUUAACGGAGGAUUAGGGUUUGAUUCCGGAGAGGGAGCCUGAGAAAUGGCUACCACAUCCAAGGAAGGCAGCAGGCGCGCAAAUUACCCAAUCUCAAUACGAGGAGGUAGUGACAAUAAAUAACAAUGCAGGGCUUUUUAAGUCUUGCAAUUGGAAUGAGUACAAUUUAAAACCCUUGACGAGAAACAAUUGGAGGGCAAGUCUGGUGCCAGCAGCCGCGGUAAUUCCAGCUCCAAUAGCGUAUAUUUAUGUUGUUGCAGUUGAAAAGCUCGUAGUUGGAUUUGAGGUUUAGGGAUAUGGUCUCAUCUUCGGAUGUUGUACUGUAUUUCUUUAUCUUUUACAUGAGAAGGUAUUCUGUUCUUUAUUGGAUGUUUAUUGACUCAUGUCUUUUACUUUGAAAAAAUUAGAGUGUUCAAAGCAGGCUUAUGCCUUGAAUACAUUAGCAUGGAAUAAUAAGAUAGGACUUUUGUCUAUUUUGUUGGUUUUUAUGGACCGAAGUAAUGAUUAAUAGGGGCAGUUGGGGACAUUAAUAUUUAAUUGUCAGAGGUGAAAUUCUUGGAUUUAUUAAAGAUUAACUACUGCGAAAGCAUUUGUCAAGGAUGUUUUCAUUAAUCAAGAACGAGAGUUGGGGGAUCGAAGACGAUCAGAUACCGUCGUAGUCUCAACCAUAAACUAUGCCGACGAGAAAUUAGUGAAUGUUUAUUCAUUGACUUCAUUAGCUUCUUCCGAGAAAUCAAAGUUUUUGGGUUCUGGGGGGAGUAUGGUCGCAAGGCUGAAACUUAAAGGAAUUGACGGAAGGGCACCACCAGGAGUGGAGCCUGCGGCUUAAUUUGACCCAACACGGGAAAACUUACCUGGUCCAGACAUAAGAAGGAUUGACAGAUUGAGAGCUCUUUCUUGAUUUUAUGGGUGGUGGUGCAUGGCCGUUCUUAGUUGGUGGAGUGAUUUGUCUGCUUAAUUGCGAUAACGAACGAGACCUUAACCUACUCAAUAGCU
rnacentral:rRNA from 1 species